rnacentral:lncRNA from 1 species
GUCCCCAGUGUUGUCACCGUCCCCAACACCCGGAGCCGUCCCCAGCGCUGUCACCGUCACCAACACUCGGAGCCGUCCCCAACACCCAGAGCUCUUGCCAACACCCGGAGCCGUCCCCAGUGUCGUCACCGUCACCAACAUCCGGAUUUGUCCCCAACACCUGGAGUUGUCCCCAGUGUUGUCACCGUCACCAACACCUGGAGCCAUCCCCAGUGUCGUCACCGUCACCAACACCCGGAGUUGUCCCCAACACCCGGAGCCAUCCCCAGUCUUGUCACCGUCACCAACACCAGGACUUGUCCCCAACACCCGGAGUUGUCCCCAGUGUUGGCACCGUCACUGUCACCAUAAGCCAUCCCCAGUGUUGUCACUGUCACCAACACCCAGACUUGUCCCCAACACCUGGAGUUGUCCCCAGUGUUGUCACCGUCACCAACACCCGGACUUGUCCCCAACACCUGGAGUUGUCCCCACUGUUGUCACCGUCCCCAACACCCGGAGCUGUCACCGUCACCGUCCCUGACAACACCCGGUGCUGUCACUGUCCCCAGCAACACCCGGAGCCGUGAUUGUCCCCAACACCCGGCGCUGUCACCGUCCCCACCAACACCUGGAGCUGUCACCGUCCCCAACACCCGGCGCUGUCACUGUCACCGUCCCCACCAACACCUGGAGCUGUGAUUGUCCCCAAGACACAACGCUGUCACCGUCACCGUCCCCACCAACACCCGGAGCUGUCACUGUCCCCACCAACACCUGGAGCCGUGAUUGUCCCCAACACCCGGUGCUGUCACCAUCACCGUCCCCAACACCCAACGCUGUCACCGUCACCGUCCCCACCAACACCCGGAGCCGUGAUUGUCCCCAACGCCCGGCGCUGUCACCGUCACCGUCCCCGCCAACACCCGGAGCUGUGAUUGUCCCCAACAACACCUGGAGCUGUCACCAUCCCCACCAACACCCGGAGCUGUGGCUGUUGUGUCACCCCAAUAAAGACU